GAGUCAUACAAAUGAGUUGGAGCAGGCAGCUGCCUUGAAAUACCUGUAUGGAUGGCUUCGUAAUCAUCCAAAGUAUGGAACACUUGCCACUCCAGAGCUUGCUGAUUCAUUAUAUUAUGCUGAUGUUGCUAGAUUAUUCAACGAAGCUUCUCAGAUAUCACCUGAGGAUGCUGAUGUGCACAUCGUACUUGGUGUCCUAUAUAAUUUAUCCAGGGAAUAU
rnacentral:misc_RNA from 1 species